UCAAGUGACUAAGUGCAUGCGGCGGAUGCCUUGGCGAUCACAGGCGAAGAAAGACGCGGCAGCCUGCGAAAAGCUGCGGGGAGCUGGCAAACGAGCUUUGAUCCGCAGAUAUCUGAAUGGGGGAACCCACACCGCAAGGUGUAUCCGUAGCUGAAUACAUAGGUUACGGAGGCGAACGAGGAGAACUGAAACAUCUAAGUAUCCUCAGGAAAAGAAAUCAACCGAGAUUCCGGCAGUAGCGGCGAGCGAACCCGGAGGAGCCCAGCUUUUGAUAGUACGAACUUUAGCCGAAAGGUCCUGGAAAGGCCUGCUAUAGUGGGUGAUAGCCCCGUAGGCGAAAAAGUUUGUGCGGUACUAAGGAAGCGAGAAGUAGAGCGGGACACGUGGAAUCCUGUUCGAAGACGGGGGGACCAUCCUCCAAGGCUAAAUACUCGUGAUCGACCGAUAGUGAACCAGUACCGUGAGGGAAAGGCGAAAAGAACCCCGGGAGGGGAGUGAAAUAGAACCUGAAACCGCAUGCAUACAAACAGUAGGAGCCUCGUCAGAGGUGACUGCGUACCUUUUGCAUAAUGGGUCAGCGACUUACAUUCUGUGGCGAGCUUAACCGAAUAGGGGAGGCGCAGCGAAAGCGAGUUCGAAAUGAGCGUCCAGUCGCAGGGUGUAGACCCGAAACCAGAUGAGCUAUCCAUGGCCAGGUUGAAGGUGUGGUAACACACACUGGAGGACCGAACCGACUAGUGUUGCAAAAUUAGCGGAUGAGCUGUGGAUAGGGGUGAAAGGCCAAACAAAUCUGGAGAUAGCUGGUUCUCCCCGAAAACUAUUGAGGUAGUGCCUCGUGUGUCGCUCCAGGGGGUAGAGCACUGUUUUGGCUAGGGGGACAUGGAGUCUUACCAAACCAAGGCAAACUCCGAAUACCUGGAAGCGUGAGCACGGGAGACAGAGCACCGGGUGCUAACGUCCGGACUCAAAAGGGAAACAACCCAGACCGCCGGCUAAGGUCCCAAAUAACAGCUAAGUGGAAAACGAAGUGGAAAGGCCGUGACAACCAGGAAGUUGGCUUAGAAGCAGCCAUCCUUCAAAGAAAGCGUAAUAGCUCACUGGUCGAGUCCUUCUGCGCGGAAGAUGUAACGGGGCUAAGCUGUUAACCGAAGCCGCGGAUGCGCUGGUUAUCCAGUGCGUGGUAGGGGAGCGUUCUGUAAGUCUGCGAAGGCGGUUCGAGAGGACUGCUGGAGAUAUCAGAAGUGCGAAUGCUGACAUGAGUAACGUUAAAGCAGGUGAAAAGCCUGCUCGCCGUAAGCCCAAGGAUUCCUGCUCUACGUUCAUCGGAGCAGGGUGAGUCGGCUCCUAAGGUCAGGCCGAAAGGCGUAGCCGAUGGGAAUCAGGUUAAUAUUCCUGAACCUGCGUCAGAUGCGAUGGGGGGACGGAGCAUGGAAGAUCAUCCGGGUGUUGGAAGUCCCGGUUGUUUAGCGUAGGAGGUCUGCAGGCAAAUCCGCAGACGCAUCUCCAAGGCAAAGACACGUGCCGCCACGGCGGCGAAGUGAUCGGAAGUGCUUCCAAGAAAAGCCUCUAAGCACCAGUCUGAUGCGGACCGUACCGCAAACCGACACUGGUGGGCGAGCUGAAUAUGCUCAGGCGCUUGAGAGAACUCGGGAGAAGGAACUCGGCAAAUUGACACCGUAACUUCGGAAGAAGGUGUGCCGUAGUACCGUGAGAGGAGAGACACCUUGAGCGGGAAACGGUCUCAGAGAAUAGGUGGCUGCGACUGUUUAUUAAAAACACAGCACUCUGCAAAGUCGAAAGACGACGUAUAGGGUGUGAUGCCUGCCCGGUGCUGGAAGAUUAAUUGAUGGGGUGAGAGCCCUUGAUCGAAGUCCCAGUAAACGGCGGCCGUAACUAUAACGGUCCUAAGGUAGCGAAAUUCCUUGUC
rnacentral:rRNA from 1 species